rnacentral:tRNA from 1 species
UCCUCGAUGGUGUAAUGAUUAGCAUGACGCGCUUUCACCGCGUUGACCCGGGUUUGAUUCCCGGUCGGGGAA